AGGGAUCAUUACUGAGUUACCGCUCUAUAACCCUUUGUGAACAUACCUAACCGUUGCUUCGGCGGGCAGGGGAAGCCUCUCGCGGGCCUCCCCUCCCGGCGCCGGCCCCCACCACGGGGACGGGGCGCCCGCCGGAGGAAACCAAACUCUAUUUACACGACGUCUCUUCUGAGUGGCACAAGCAAAUAAUUAAAACUUUUAACAACGGAUCUCUUGGUUCUGGCAUCGAUGAAGAACGCAGCGAAAUGCGAUAAGUAAUGUGAAUUGCAGAAUUCAGUGAAUCAUCGAAUCUUUGAACGCACAUUGCGCUCGCCAGCAUUCUGGCGAGCAUGCCUGUUCGAGCGUCAUUUCGACCCUCAAGCACCGCUUGGUUUUGGGGCCCCACGGCACACGUGGGCCCUUAAAGGUAGUGGCGGACCCUCCCGGAGCCUCCUUUGCGUAGUAACUAACGUCUCGCACUGGGAUCCGGAGGGACUCUUGCCGUAAAACCCCCAAAUUUUUUACAGGUUGACCUCGGAUCAGGUAGGAAUACCCGCUGAA
rnacentral:rRNA from 1 species